UUGGUAAAAUAAAUUUGUCGGUUUCUUAUACGGUUGCGAAUAUUAAGCGAUAACAAGAAAAACAGUGUUCGGGGAGAUAACUCUUACAUGGAUAAGAUUUUGGUUAAGCGGUGUCAGUUUCAAAAGCGUAUUAAUUGUUCGAUAUCAUAUACCAUAUAUCUUAGCGACAUCUUGCGAAACAAAAAAAUUACGAAGGAACAAAAAGUUGGCGGAAGAAAAAAAAU
rnacentral:lncRNA from 1 species